UGUAGUCUGCAACUCGACUACAUGAAGCUGGAANCGCUAGUAAUCGCGGAUCAGAAUGCCGCGGUGAAUACGGUUCCCGGGUCUUGUACACACCGCCCGUCACACCAUGGGAGUCAGUAACGCCCGAAGCCGGUGACCCAACCUAUUCUGGAGGGAGCCGUCGAAGGCGGGACGGAUGACUGGGGUGAAGUCGUAACAAGGUAUC
rnacentral:rRNA from 1 species